rnacentral:rRNA from 1 species
GGGGAAUUUUGCGCAAUGGGGGGAACCCUGACGCAGCGACGCCGCGUGGGUGAUGAAGGCCUUCGGGUUGUAAAGCCCUGUUGGGGGGGAAGAUAAUGACGGUACCCCCUGAGGAAGCCCCGGCUAACUACGUGCCAGCAGCCGCGGUAAGACGUAGGGGGCGAGCGUUGUCCGGAAUUACUGGGCGUAAAGGGCGUGUAGGCGGCCUUUCGAGUCGGCUGUGAAAUACCCCGGCUCAACCGGGGGGGUGCAGUUGAAACUGGGGGGCUUGAGUGCAGGAGAGGAGGGUGGAAUUCCCGGUGGAGCGGUGAUAUGCGUAGAUAUCGGGAGGAACACCGGUGGCGAAGGCGACCUUCUGGCCUGUUACUGACGCUGAGGCGCGAAAGCCGGGGGAGCAAAC